rnacentral:tRNA from 1 species
GGUGUGUUGGCUCAGUGGUCAGAGCGUAGGUUCGUAACCGAAAGUCGCGGGAUCGAAUCCCGCUAGAGGCUG